rnacentral:rRNA from 1 species
GAUGAACGCUGGCGGCGUGCCUAAUACAUGCAAGUCGAGCGAACAGACGAGGAGCUUGCUCCUCUGACGUUAGCGGCGGACGGGUGAGUAACACGUGGAUAACCUACCUAUAAGACUGGGAUAACUUCGGGAAACCGGAGCUAAUACCGGAUAACAUGUUGAACCGCAUGGUUCAACAGUGAAAGACGGUCUUGCUGUCAC